GACGAACGCUGGCGGCGUGCUUUACACAUGCAAGUCGAACGGUGAAGGUGGAGCUUGCUCCGCCGGAUCAGUGGCGAACGGGUGAGUAACACGUGGGCAACCUGCCCCUAACUUUGGGAUAACUACUCGAAAGAGUAGCUAAUACCGGAUAUGAAGUCUGUAGGCAUCUAUGGAUUUGGAAAGUUUUUCGGUUAGGGAUGGGCCCGCGGCCUAUCAGCUUGUUGGUGAGGUAGUGGCUCACCAAGGCGACGACGGGUAGCCGGCCUGAGAGGGCGACCGGCCACACUGGGACUGGGACACGGCCCAGACUCCUACGGGAGGCAGCAGUGGGGAAUAUUGCGCAAUGGGCGAAAGCCUGACGCAGCAACGCCGCGUGUGGGAUGAAGGCCUUCGGGUUGUAAACCGCUUUCAGCAGGGAAGAAGCGAAAGUGACGGUACCUGCAGAAGAAGCACCGGCUAACUACGUGCCAGCAGCCGCCGUAA
rnacentral:rRNA from 1 species